AUUGAACGCUGGCGGCAGGCCUAACACAUGCAAGUCGAGCGGAUGAGGGGUGCUUGCACUCCGAUUCAGCGGCGGACGGGUGAGUAAUGCCUAGGAAUCUGCCUGGUAGUGGGGGACAACGUUUCGAAAGGAACGCUAAUACCGCAUACGUCCUACGGGAGAAAGUGGGGGAUCUUCGGACCUCACGCUAUCAGAUGAGCCUAGGUCGGAUUAGCGUAGUUGGUGAGGUAAAGGCUCACCAAGGCGACGAUCCGUAACUGGUCUGAGAGGAUGGUCAGUCACACGGGAACGGAGACACGGUCCAGACUCCUACGGGGGGCAGCAGUGGGGAAGAUUGGACAAUGGGCGAAAGCCUGAUCCAGCCAUGCCGCGUGUGUGAAGAAGGUCUUCGGAUUGUAAAGCACUUUAAGUUGGGAGGAAGGGCUGUAGGCUAAUAUCCUGCAGUUUUGACGUUACCGACAGAGUAAGCACCGGCUAACUUCGUGCCAGCCGCCGCAGUAAAAC
rnacentral:rRNA from 1 species